rnacentral:rRNA from 1 species
AGUCGACGGCAGCACGGACUUCGGUCUGGUGGCGAGUGGCGAACGGGUGAGUAAUAUAUCGGAACGUACCCUGGAGUGGGGGAUAACGCAGCGAAAGUUGCGCUAAUACCGCAUACGAUCUACGGAUGAAAGUGGGGGCUCGCAAGACCUCAUGCUCGUGGAGCGGCCGAUAUCUGAUUAGCUAGUUGGUAGGGUAAAAGCCUACCAAGGCUUCGAUCAGUAGCUGGUCUGAGAGGACGACCAGCCACACUGGGACUGAGACACGGCCCAGACUCCUACGGGAGGCAGCAGUGGGGAAUUUUGGACAAUGGGGGCAACCCUGAUCCAGCAAUGCCGCGUGAGUGAAGAAGGCCUUCGGGUUGUAAAGCUCUUUUGUCAGGGAAGAAACGGUGAAGGCAAAUACUCUUUGCUAAUGACGGUACCUGAAGAAUAAGCACCGGCUAACUACGUGCCAGCAGCCGCGGUAAUACGUAGGGUGCAAGCGUUAAUCGGAAUUACUGGGCGUAAAGCGUGCGCAGGCGGUUAUGUAAGUCAGAUGUGAAAUCCCCGGGCUCAACCUGGGAAUGGCAUUUGAGACUGCAUGGCUAGAGUGUGUCAGAGGGGGGUAGAAUUCCACGUGUAGCAGUGAAAUGCGUAGAUAUGUGGAGGAAUACCGAUGGCGAAGGCAGCCCCCUGGGAUAACACUGACGCUCAUGCACGAAAGCGUGGGGAGCAA